UACAGAGGGUGCGGGCGUGUCCGGAAUCACUGGGCGUAAAGGGCGCGUAGGUGGUGGCUUAAGCGUGCGGUGAAAGCUCGGGGCUCACCCCCGAGUCGGCCGUGCGAACUGGGCUCACUGGAGCAUAGUAGAGGCAGGUGGAAUUCCGGGUGUAGCGGUGGAAUGCGUAGAGAUCCGGAAGAACACCGGUGGCGAAGGCGGCCUGCUGGGCUAUGGCUGACACUGAGGCGCGACAGCGUGGGGAGCAAACAGG
rnacentral:rRNA from 1 species